rnacentral:rRNA from 1 species
UACAGAGGAUGCAAGCGUUAUCCGGAAUGAUUGGGCGUAAAGCGUCUGUAGGUGGCUUUUUAAGUCUGCCGUCAAAUCCCAGGGCUUAACCCUGGACAGGCGGUGGAAACUACCAAGCUGGAGUACGGUAGGGACAGGGGGAAUUUCCGGUGGAGCGGUGAAAUGCGUAGAGAUCGGAAAGAACACCAACGGCGAAAGCACUCUGCUGGGCCGACACUGACACUGAGAGACGAAAGCUAGGGGAGCGAAUGGG